rnacentral:rRNA from 1 species
AUUGAACGCUGGCGGCAUGCCUUACACAUGCAAGUCGAACGGCAGCACGGGUGCUUGCACCUGGUGGCGAGUGGCGAACGGGUGAGUAACACAUCGGAACAUGUCCUGUAGCGGGGGGUAGCCCGGCGAAAGCCGGAUUAAUACCGCAUACGGACUACGGAUGAAAGCGGGGGACCUGGGGGCCUCGCGCUAUAGGGUUGGCCGAUGGCUGCUUAGCUAGUUGGGGGGGUAAAGGCCUACCAAGGCGACGAUCAGUAGCUGGUCUGAGAGGACGGCCAGCCACACUGGGAGUGAGACAGGGCCCAGACUCCUACGGGAGGCAGCAGUGGGGAAUUUUGGACAAUGGGCGAGAGCCUGAUCCAGCAAUGCGGCGUGUGUGAAGAAGGCGUUCGGGUUGGAAAGCACUGUUGUCCGGAAAGAAAUCCUUGGCCCUAAUACGGUCGGGGGAUGACGGUACCGGAAGAAUAAGCACCGGCUAACUACGUG